AGAAGGAGGAGUUAAAGAAGUUGCUACUUUUUGUCACAUCCUGAAGGUGGCCCUUGCUAGGUGGACCGAUCCUAAGUUUCAUCCUUUGGCUACCAAUAUGAAGAUGUAACUCCUAACACGUACCAGUGACAUCAUCAACUAAGUUCUCUCAGUGUUUUCCAGUUUGUCAGUAAAAUAUU